GCACCCCAAAAGCAUGAGGUGAUUUAAGUCUCGAGAAUCCUAAUUAAGAAAUAGCAAUUAAAGACUUGCCUGAACCUACAACUGGCCUUACUGGCUCCUCAGUAUGGAUGUCCUGUAGUGGUUAGGAGCAGCAUCCCCGCUGGUUGGGGUGCCCACCCAUCAGGCCUUGAGAGGGAAUUGAAACACUCAUUUUUUGACACCCCAUGUUCUGAAGGUUCUCCCCUCGUUGCUUUUCCCAGAAUGCUCAAAACAAAAGUGCGUUUCCUGUUUAGAAAGAGAGAGAAGAUAAGCCCUAAAGUGCAGCCUCCUGCUCUGGCUACCCCAAGUAUAAACAGCCUGCGCGGCCAGGCACUGCUUUUGUUUGUUCUAGCAGCUUUCUCUCCUUAAAGGUACAUUAGGCACAAUUAUACAAAGUCCGUUUUCUGGCAGCAUCACUCCUGACUGGCACGAGAGCUCCAGGACCAUCAGCUCAUCAGGAAAUCUCCUGUCUGUCCAGAGCACGCAGUGAAUUCCCACCUUUGCACUCAAGGCACAGCAUUAAGUGCUUCCAAAGUAUGUUACUCAUUUGCAUUUCUGUAAUAUUUCUCCACUGUAGCAUCAGAGUGCUCUGUAAAUAGUCACUGCUAACCUCCCUGGGUGGGGUGCUGGGGAUGGGUUUGUUUUUUUGGCUUACGGAGAGCAAAAGGUUUGCGUUGUGAGUCAGCACUGAAGCUCAGUAAUUCAACACGAGAUGGGUUUAAGGCUACCUUUGACCAAUCCGGGGCUGUUGUGGCUUCCAGGGUAAUGCAGAGCAUCCGUGGAAUCCCUCUGUGCAGCAGGGUGAAGAUCUGAGGAAGAGACCUACAGCCAAAUGGCCUGAGCUGUCACAGCACGGUACCUAUGAUUCCCGUGACGGCUCCAUCCUGCAACGUUCUGAACCUCCUCACUGUGCUUCAGCAAUGCGAUCAGGUCCAGAUACGAGCUCAGGACUGGACCUACUGCAACAAGCAGUGUGAACAAUGCUGGGCUCUUACUGCCAUGCUCAGGAAACAGGAGUGUCAUUUCUCCUUGUCUGCUGUGAGCGAGUCCUCAUCGGUUCAAGUGACAACACGUGCAGGUGCCUCUCUGCUUUUUCCACACCGGGUGAGUCCUUUCAGCAAGCAGGGAGGGAACAGCUGCUGGGUGAAAACAAGGCCAUCCUGCUGACCCAAGCUGAAAUGCGACAGGGAAAUGGGAUUUCUGACCUUGAGAGGUACAAAGUUGCCCAAAGGAGGGACCCAGCGAAGAUUAAAAAUAACUCCAUCUCCGUAACGCUUCUGCAGCUGGGCCAAAGCAUUGCAAAACACACAGCCAGCUAUGAAAUAGGACCAAUUGACAACAGCCUUUUGGUGACCGAUGGGCUGAGGAGAUCGCCCUCCCCUUUGCGAGCAUGGACUGAAGAACAGCUGCUUUUGUCAGCCGUGCUCUUGCUUGUCCUCUCCCCUGUCCCUGCAGAUGUUUGAGGAUGGCUGCUGUGACGGUGCUCAUCGUGUGGGUCGGUGUUCCUUUCUCCUCAGCUCCCACUUCUGUUUGGCUGUUGUGAGAGCAAUUAGACAUUACUCAGAGAGGGCCAGACAGUGUGUGGGUCCAUGGUCGCUCGGUCUGUCUGUCUGUCUCCCCCCUCUCGCACACAUGCCAUGUGAUUUGAAGCAGUCAUGUACCAUGAAUAAUGUCCAGGGGCCAGGUCACAAGCUUCCCAUAGCAUGGAAUUCAUUUGCAUACAAUCCGAGCAAUUACAAGUAAUGAAUAGAUUAGGAAAACCAAACAAAACGAGAAACGAUUCAGGCUGCUGCUAAUUCCUCAGCAGAAAGGAGGAAAGGAAAAAAAGGGGGGGGGGGGAAGAGGGCGGGGAGGGGAAGGCUCUUAAAAUCUCGGCUGCUCGCUGACCCGCGGGUACCGGGACCGGGAGGGAGAGGGGCGGACGACCGACAGACCGACCGAUUUCCCCCCCUCCGUCCCAACGGCCCCGCUCCGCCCGCCGCAGCGCAUGCUCCCGCCCCCACCUGCACAUUUAAACGGCGGCGGAGGCGCGGGCGCUGCACCGGGACCGGGCUGAGAGGCGUCUGCUGUGACCAAGUUCGACUUAAGAGCAACUGAGCGGAAGGUCUGGAGAGCGAGAGCUGAGCGUGCACCUCCUGAACCCCCCGAGGACCUGCGGGGACCUGUGAGCACCUAUGAGCGCAGGUCAGUGGAUGUUUAAAGCAAAGGAAGCCAGCACGUGGCAGGAGGAGGCGUUCAUUGCAGCUCACGGAGGGCUCUGCGUGGUUUUGCUGCUGUGCUGCGCUGCGUUGUGUCGUUCGGGUGUGUGGGGAGCACACGGGGCUGAGUUGGGUGUAGUGUCAGCGGGUCACAGUGUGACUGCUCCGUGGAGUUCCCACCUUGGGCACGGCUGAGAGCUUUGGUGGUGCAGAUGCAUUCAUUGUGGCACUUAUCGGUCGUCCCGUGGGUGACAGCUUUAGGAGGAAGAGGAAAGCAAUAGGAUCGGGUAGGGCUUUCACUGCGGUGGCAGGCAGGCUUGGCAAGGUGCCGGGCUUUCAUGCUUGCGUUUAGAAUAACAACAAGACUGAUUCGGAGGGGGAACAUCUCAGCAACGAUUUUCCUGGUCCUCAUUCGGACCUCUCUGUGGACAGCACAGAGAAAGCAGCCAAGCUUGAGGCAGAUCCGGGUCUGUUGCUGGUGUAGUCCUGCAUACGGGCUCGGGAGAGAAGAGUGUGUGUGUGUGUGUAAUGUGAGAAUAAUCAGGGAUUUAUAGCAAUGGAACAUGAGUAAGAACUUCAAAAGCACCCAAAUGAUUUGGGCACCGAAAUCAUGCGGGCGCUCCUGAAAAACGUGUACCAGCCUUUAAACCAUUCCUAUUAUUCGCCCUGCCUGCAAUUUGCUUCUCGUUUUUGGUGAGCUGGACCUGCCCGACCCACAGCUCACGGUGCUGUCCCUCAGUGGGAGCGGUGCAGAGCUGAGAGCAGCAAUCCCUGCAGUGCCUUCAGCUCUGGAAGUUAUUUCUGCACAACGCUGUGGGAGCCAAGAGGGCUCAGCUUAUGGGAUUUGGAGGAAAAAAAAAAAAAAAAGGAUUAGAAACUUGAUAUGGAUAGCAAGAAUCUCUAGAAUUAAUAGGAAAUUAAAUGAGGGCUUUACAAGGGAUAUAAAUCCCUGUAUUUCGGGGCAUAAGCCAAUCUUAGGAUUUAGGAAGAAGCUUCUCCUUGUAAGGGGUUUUGCCCUGUGCUGUCUGCUGGUGGGUAUGUUGCCCUGCAGCUCGCUAUGUACAGAGCUGGUGUGGGGUCUUCUGUGGGAACAUCUCCUCUUCUGGAAGAGCUUCUGGUUGAGCAGCACUGAGCUCAAACCUUGUGGCUGUGCGUUGCAGCAGCCUGGAGAUACCUGAGCACAAAGCAGCAAUCCCACGGGCUGCUCUCUGAGCUUAUCAUCACUGUUACACAACAGAGCCAUAGCAGGUGCUGAGCGUAUUCCAGACAGCAUCUCUUUUGGAAGCUCAGAGCCUAUUGUUGCCAGCAGUGAGAGAUGCUGUGACUGCAGUGUGAGAAG
ensembl:lncRNA